UUUUGUAGAGUGAUGUGAAACGACAAACUGAUAUUUUCAAAGUUGUCGGUUUGUAUUUUUUUUUUCAUAUGUCAAAUAUCUAGUUCUUCAGUUUAUUCCACCAAUUUAAUGAAACCGUGAAAGAAUUUGGGCUGAUUUUCUGUAAUCUGUGAAGAUAAUCGGUUAAAUCCAUUGUAUGCUUGCUGAAACUCGUCUAGAUCGAAGUCACAGCUGAUCGAUGAGUCAACCAUUCGUAUCAGUUUGGCAUAAGAGCAUGGAAUCAUGGUUGUUUUCGUUGAGUAUGGUUCAACAAACUCUUCUCAGACUGAUACAACCCAACUGUUGAGAGCGUUUGGCCUUGACUUUUGUCGAUUGUCAUUGCAAAUGCAGCAGUCAACGGAAAUUGCAUGCGCCUCAUCUUAAAAGUUGGUCCCUAAAAGUUUCGGUGAGAGCAUUCUUGAUGGUAGCUUGAAUUUUGUCCCCCUAUAAAAGUUUGGGAAACAACAAAGCAAUUAGUAUAAAGUAAUAUAUAACAUAAACCAAAAAUAUGUAAUCGAAUUCAAAAAAGAGUUAACGAAAGAAUUAGAGUUAACUAAA